UACAUGUUACUCGCGGCAAAUGUUGCUCAAAAUUAGAAUAAAUGCCUUAUUGUUACUCUUAUAAACUGAUAUGAAAUAUCAGUUUACUAUUUUCUUUCUGCUCCGUAAAUCUAGCGUUAAUAGAAUAAUUAUAUUCUAUCAAUGGAAUUAUUAUUAAUAAUAAUCGCCGAUAUUAAUCGGCGCGAGCAAGAAAUGACUCCGGCACAGGAGGCCGCGCUCCGGUACCCGCAGAGUUGUUAGACUUGUUAGAUUAUUUUGUACGUAUUACUGUGCACGAAAAGUUAUCGAGAAUCUGCAAUGUUUCAGAUAAUUUGCGGUAUUUUUUUAGUGUUAAGUAUAGUUCAUUUUGUGUAAAUUUCCGAUAAGCGUGGCCCACCGACUUUCAAACAACGGCCAUUGUCCUGCGCCAAUGUCCUGUCUUUCGCGUUCACGUCGACAUUUUCGAGCCGAUUGUACAGUAAAUUCUCUCUCAAUUGCGUUCAAAUUGCGCACAAAAACAAAAAUGGAACUGUUCCUCGCGCCGACCACUCCGGCCAAGCGGCAAGGCCAAGCGGCAGAGCCAAGCGGCAAGGCCAAAUGGCAGAGCCGUGCGGCUUGGGCCAAGCGGCAAAGCCAAGCGGCAAGGCCAAGCGGCAGAGCCAAGCGGCAAGGCCAAAUGGCAGAGCCGUGCGGCUUGGGCCAAGCGGCAAAGCCAAGCGGCAAGGCCAAAUGGCAAAGCCACGCGCGAAGCCAAGCCAGUGAAGCCAAGCCUUUGCAUAUUCCGUUGAUCCAAAUCAAGCUCGAACCUUUUAGCGCCAGUGUACACCCGUUAGAAUAAGCAGCCAACGAUCGUACCGAGCCGGAGAGCAGAUUUUGCCUGCGUUCUCCUACGAUCGUCGGUCGCCAGAGCGUGGAAACGCUUUGCGAAAAGAGCCGUAUUUAUGUAUAUCGUACAACAAACACUUUUUCUUUUUGAUAAUAAAGACGUUAAUAGACGGACGGAUGUGUGAGAUACCACGGCGACGAUAGACGUUUCUCGGUCGUAGAGAGGAAUGAGAAGAGGCGAUCGAAACGGGACACCGGACUAACAUCUAUCUCUGUUUGCAGGAUACCCGAGGCCCGCAUAUCACAGGCGUUACCGCGGCAAAUAUUUCUGCGACUUCUGCGGCAAAGAGUACAUGUGGAGGCCAUCGUUGAUGCGGCACAAACGCGAGGAGUGCGGGAAGCAAUCUCAGCAUUACACAGCGUGUCCGGAUAUCCGAGAUCCGCGUAUCACACACGUUAUCGCGGCCGAUAUUUCUGCGACGUAUGCGGCAAGGAAUACACGUGGAAGCCAUCGUUAAUGCGGCACAAGCGCGAGGAGUGCGGCAAAGAGCCUCGAUACGUGUGCCCGGUGUGCCUUCACAAGUUCCGUCGCAGCGGCCAAUUGAAGUUGCACCUCUAUCACGUUCACAAUUGGCGGUCCACCUACGACGUCAACGAGUAUCGAACGAUGCCCCAUUAGGAAGUUCGCCUGCGGGAACUGCGGCAAAACUUACAAGUGGAAGUCCUCGUUACAGCAACACCGUCGGCUGGAGUGCGGCAUCGAACCGCAGUUCCGCUGCAUGUUCUGCGGCUGGCGGUUGAAGCACAAACACCAUUUGAAGCAACACCUGAAGAGACGGCACCAGUGCGAUCUGUCGACGCUACCCUCGUUGAACGGCCAGUGAAACGUCUUCGGGAUCGCCGCCGACGUUCCGUCGACGGAACACGCGUGUGCAUCUUCGAUGAACAGGGACUUGCGACGGAACAGUUUUUUUCGACGUCGAUCGGAUGAUUCGAGCGUCGACGUUCCUAUAAACAACCGUCCCGAACCGAUUGACGCAUCGUCAAGCGACAUUGUUGUGCUCGGCGGGGUCGCAGACGCGCCGCUUCGACGUCGCGAGCCGGUCGAAUCCGGCGCGCCGAUCGGAGGAGCUCGCGGACUUCGUGAAGCUGGUGACCCGGCCGGAGUUCACGUACCGGUUGGAUCACCCUAGCCGGUCGAGGUUCGCGUACCGAUCGGAGGAGAUCGCGGAUCGCCGCAAGCUGGCCAACCGGCCGGAGUUCGAGCACCGGUUCCACUUCUUGAACCGGCCGGAGUUCGCGAGACGGCUCGACCUCGUGAUCGACCGGUUCGAUUACGCCAGCCGGCAGAAGCACCCGUGCCAUCUGGCCUACACGUGCAACGUCUGCGGCACGGGCUACGAGCGGAAAACCGCCCUGGAGCUGCACAAGAGGGUGGGCUGCGGCGCGAAGCCCCGACCCGCCUGCAACAUCUGCGGCAUGCGGUUCCGGCACAAGCAUCGCGCCUUGAUCUAAUCGGAACGAAGAUCGUCCAUUAUGAUUCCGAUCCAUUGUAGUAGUCCUCGUAGAACAGUUUUAUUCGUAGACGUUCCCAUGUAACCGUGUCGAAUUCACUCGAUCGUAACUCUUUGUACGUUGAACGCGAACGAAACGACGAUACCUUGUCGAAGAUGUGCGAGAAACUAAAAUAAAAAGACACUGAUGGGGAAAAAAGCCGAGAGGAAUAGAUCCCGAUUCCCUGCGAGCGAAGACGCGCGUAAAAAAGAAAAAGGUUUCAUUUCGAAAAUUGGCUCCUUCAGCUGAUUCGUUUAGCGGUGCUAACGGAGACGUUUCCGCUUCUGAUUUCAGGGCUGCCGGAGAUCGCGUACCGGCCGAGCUAUGUCUGCAACACCUGCGGCAAGAGCUACAAAUGGAAAGUGUCGUUGAACCUGCACAAGCGG